GAUGAACGCUAGCGACAGGCUUAACACAUGCAAGUCGCGGGGCAGCAUGGGGGUUGCUUGCAACCCCUGAUGGCGACCGGCGCACGGGUGAGUAACGCGUAACCAACCUGCCCUUCACCACGGGAUAACCCGGCGAAAGUCGGAUUAAUACCGAAUGUUGUCCAUUGACGGCAUCCGAUUUGGACGAAAGGUUGGGGGGUGAAAGGACGGGGCUGCGUCCGAUUAGCUUGACGGCAGGGUAACGGCCCACCGUGGCUACGAUCGGUAGGGGGGCUGAGAGGCAGGUACCCCGCACUGGAGCUGAGCCCCAGACCCGACUGCUACGCAGGGCAGCAGAGUGUUAUAUUAGUCACUGAGCGUAAACCUGAACCAGCCACGUAGCGUGCAAGAGGACGGCCCUAUGAGUUGUAUACUGCUUUUAUGCGGGGAUAAAGUGGCCAACGUGUGGGCUUUUGCCGGUACCGAAUGAAUAAGGACCGGCUAAUUCCGUG
rnacentral:rRNA from 1 species